rnacentral:rRNA from 1 species
AGCGAAUGUUAGCGGCAGGCCUAACACAUGCAAGUCGCACGAGAAUCCGGCUUCGGCCGGUAGUAAAGUGGCGGACGGGUGAGUAACACGUGGAUAAUCUGCCCUUCGGCGGGGGACAACAGUCCGAAAGGAUUGCUAAUACCGCAUACGUCAGCGAGGUCUUCGGACCUUGUUGGGAAAGAUGGCCUCUUCAUGAAAGCUAUCACCGAAGGAUGAGUCCGCGGCCCAUCAGCUAGUUGGCGGGGUAAUGGCCCACCAAGGCUAAGACGGGUAGCUGGUCUGAGAGGAUGAGCAGCCACACUGGAACUAAGACACGGUCCGGACUCCUACGGGAGGCAGCAGUGGGGAAUAUUGGGCAAUGGGCGCAAGCCUGACCCAGCCAUGCCGCGUGAGUGAUGAAGGCCUUCGGGUCGUAAAGCUCUGUGGGGAGGGAAGAAAAUACGCUGGCUAAUAUCCAGCGGGUUGACGGUACCUCUUUAGCAAGCACCGGCUAACUCCGUGCCAGCCGCCGCAGUAACAC